ensembl:snRNA U2 U2 spliceosomal RNA
AUCACUUCUCAGCUAAGAUCAAAUGUAGUAUCUAUUCUUAUCAGUUUAAUACAUUAAUACUAUUUUCACAGAAAACAAACCUAAAAUUUAUUGCAUGUGAGCUAGUUUUUGCUUCCGAGCUGUCUCUGCUUAUAAAUUCAGGGUUCUGCCUAAAAGUC